AUGCAGAUAAAGUGCCAAGUAACAAUGAGAAUUGUUUUAGAUUAUGUUAUGAUUCUUCUACCGAGGUCUAGAAUGCUCGUGAGACGAGCAGAGAGAAGGUUAAAGAUUCUUCUGCAGAAUUCGAGGAUAAAAAAAUCUGGUGAGUUUUCUGUUAUAUCCCUUCUGUUAGAUCUGAAAGUUAGUUAUACCUAA